UACGAGAGGCCCAAACGUUAUUCGGAAUUACUGGGCUUAAAGAGUUCGUAGGCGGCAUGAAAAGUAGGGUGCGAAAGCCCUCGGCUCAACCGAGGAAUUGCGCUCUAAACUGUCGUGCUCGAGGAAUCUAGAGGUGAGCGGAACUGAUGGUGGAGCGGUGAAAUGCGUUGAUAUCAUCAGGAACACCGGAGGCGAAGGCGGCUCACUGGGGAUUUUCUGACGCUGAGGAACGAAAGCCAGGGGAGCGAACGGG
rnacentral:rRNA from 1 species